UGCUGAUUUGCUGACGAGUGGCGGACGGGUGAGUAAUGUCUGGGAAACUGCCUGAUGGAGGGGGAUAACUACUGGAAACGGUAGCUAAUACCGCAUAACGUCGCAAGACCAAAGAGGGGGACCUUCGGGCCUCUUGCCAUCGGAUGUGCCCAGAUGGGAUUAGCUAGUAGGUGGGGUAACGGCUCACCUAGGCGACGAUCCCUAGCUGGUCUGAGAGGAUGACCAGCCACACUGGAACUGAGACACGGUCCAGACUCCUACGGGAGGCAGCAGUGGGGAAUAUUGCACAAUGGGCGCAAGCCUGAUGCAGCCAUGCCGCGUGUAUGAAGAAGGCCUUCGGGUUGUAAAGUACUUUCAGCGGGGAGGAAGGGAGUAAAGUUAAUACCUUUGCUCAUUGACGUUACCCGCAGAAGAAGCACCGGCUAACUCCGUGCCAGCAGCCGCGGUAAUACGGAGGGUGCAAGCGUUAAUCGGAAUUACUGGGCGUAAAGCGCACGCAGGCGGUUUGUUAAGUCAGAUGUGAAAUCCCCGGGCUCAACCUGGGAACUGCAUCUGAUACUGGCAAGCUUGAGUCUCGUAGAGGGGGGUAGAAUUCCAGGUGUAGCGGUGAAAUGCGUAGAGAUCUGGAGGAAUACCGGUGGCGAAGGCGGCCCCCUGGACGAAGACUGACGCUCAGGUGCGAAAGCGUGAGGAGCAAACAGGAUUAGAUACCCUGGUAGUCCACGCCGUANACGAUGUCGACUUGGAGGUUGUGCCCUUGAG
rnacentral:rRNA from 1 species